rnacentral:rRNA from 1 species
UACGUAGGGUGCGAGCGUUGUCCGGAAUUAUUGGGCGUAAAGGGCUCGUAGGCGGUUUGUCGCGUCGGGAGUGAAAACUCAGGGCUUAACCCUGAGCCUGCUUCCGAUACGGGCAGACUAGAGGUAUGCAGGGGAGAACGGAAUUCCUGGUGUAGCGGUGAAAUGCGUAGAUAUCGGGAGGAACACCAAUGGCGAAAGCAGGUUGCUGGCCCAAUACUGACGGUGAGCUGCGAAAGCUAGGGGAGCAAACAGG